UACAGAGGUCUCAAGCGUUGUUCGGAUUCAUUGGGCGUAAAGGGCGCGCAGGCGGCUAUCCAAGUCAGGCGUGAAAGCCCCGGGCUUAACCUGGGAGGUGCGUCUGGGACUGGGUGGCUAGAGUUCGGGAGAGGAGAGUGGAAUUCCCAGUGUAGAGGUGAAAUUCGUAGAUAUUGGGAAGAACACCGGUGGCGAAGGCGGCUCUCUGGACCGAGACUGACGCUGAGGCGCGAAAGCGUGGGGAGCAAACAGG
rnacentral:rRNA from 1 species